UAAAGUCUAGUUACAGCAUGUGUUUAGUGUCAUCUAGUGGAAGAUAUGAAGACAACACUGUUUAAAGGGUGGGGGGAUUGCUGAUUGAAACAGAAAGUAAAGUUAUUGUUUUGUACAGGAUCCAUUUUGAGGCGAAAGCCUAUGCAGAGAAGUACAAAAUAAAGGGUCAGUGCUCUAAAAUGAGUCUCUCUGGGGAGAGAGAGGAGGGGGUCCCUGCCUCUGAAAUGAGUCUCUCUGGGGAACAUGACACCAAAGCUAAGAGCCCAAUCAAGCGCAAGAAACCAGCCUCCCCUGUACCAAGCUGUGUGUCCAUGAAGAGUGAUUGGUCUAUAUGUCAACCUAUAGAGUUUAGAGAGGGAGACUUUUCACCUGAACAAAGGUAAGAAGAACUCAUGGGUUAUGGUCAGUGAGUUAAACAACACUGUCUCUAGUCAUUUCUCCUCUCCCAUUUUCCCAUUUAUUUUUGAUGUUAUCAUAAUCUAUAGGAAAACAC